rnacentral:tRNA from 2 species
GGGGGUGUGGCUCAGUGGUUAAGAGCACUGACUGCUCUUCCAGAGGUCCUGAGUUCAAUUCCCAGCAACCACA